rnacentral:lncRNA from 1 species
AUCUUUGCACUUGUUACUUGCUUGGUGGGAAAGAGUGAACAGGCUGAGUGCACCUCAAGCUUCAAUUACCUUGGCCAGGCUUGAAGGUACGAAACAACAUCAAUCCAUCCAUCAUCUCUCCAAGAUCAUUUUGAACUCCAUUGUUCACAAUUUUCUGCGGAUCUUUCAACUUUCCAUCAAUUCUCUCGAUUUUCCUUCCAAACCAGGUUUGAGCAUCCUUAUUUUUUUAGUUAUUGUUUUUUGCUUUCGGGUAUUCAUACUCUUGAUGUAGAUAAAAUGGAGGAUGUUUUAGUGGGUUUUUAUUGAUCAAAUGUUUCAAGUUUUUGGCAUUAUUUUUUGUGGGUUUUUUGUGGAUUAUUUAUCAAAUGUUACUAAAAUCUAUUGAUUAUGUGGAUUUCUGAUAUUAGAUUUCUUAUGAUAAAUUGAUUUGGUUUAGGAAAGAUAUAUAGAUUUGUUCUCAUAAUCUGAUAAACUUCUUUUUUUUUCGUUUUUUUUUUUAAAAAAAAUUGAUUUUAGAGUCAUUUAUGGAGAUUUUUGUUACCGAAAAUGUUUUCCGGAUGAGGAUUUGAGAUGAGGGUUCAUUUGUUUUCAUAAAAAAACUUCAUCCUAUACAAUAAUAUAAAAUUAUAUUAUAAUAUAGAACAUAAAGAAACUUCAUCCUAUACAAUAAUACAAAAUUGUAUUAUAAUAUUCUAUAUUAUAUUUUCUAAUAUUAUAUAUUAUUAUAUAUUAUUAUGUUUGUUAAUUAUAUAUUAUAACAUUAUAUAUCUAUUAUAAUUUACAAAUUACUUACAUGUAACAUAUAAUUAAUUAUGGCUAUAACAAUUUGCAGGUUAAGUUCAUUCCUAGUUCUUCGCUCUUUCGUAUAGGUGGGGUUGUUACCUUCAUCCUCGUGGGUAGGGAGCUGAAGCCUCCCAACUUAAAAUUUGGGUAACUUAUAAAUAUAUUUUGGAAAUGAAUAUGUUGUUGGCUUACGACCUCGUUGAGAGGAUGGCCUUUGGUAAGGUAGAAUGGCAUAUCAAGAUUAGUAUAGCAAACUCUAAAUAGUUGGAAAAAAGCUCUGACGAUGACGAUGAUGAUGGUGAUGAAAAUGUUGUUGGCUUAAAGGGGAAAUUUUUUCAAGAGAGUCAUUUUAUAUGUUUCUGAGUUACAUAGUGUAAUUAUUCAUCGGCUUUCGCCAUGGAUGUAGACACAUAAUAGCAAACCACGUAAAUAUUGAUCUUCUAUGUUUUCUUGAGAGAAACGUGGGCCUAGUGAAAAAUAGGUAAUGGUUAGCUAGGGCAUUCCCCCGAUUGAUAUUUAAUAGAGAAGAAUAGAAAAACAAGAUUCUAUAGCGGAUCCCAAAUGUUUAGAGGAGUUACGUACCUACCCUCCUACCCUCCUGGAUACAUGUCAUCAUAGUUUCCCCCAAAAAUUUGUAUUUUACAUUCUCACUAAUUUUUGUUUUUGUUUUAUCUUUUUAAAAAAUACUCCCACUUAUAACUGUCUGAAGGUAAAGAAAUCAUUGAUUUAGAAUCUUCAGUCUAAAAUCAGAUUAGAAGUUUCCUGUGAAUGUUGAAGGUCCAUAGUUAGCAAAAAAUUCAUCAUCAAUUCAAUCUGAAGCAGCUGUCACUUCAGACCUUCAAAGUUCCAAUUGGGGGUAUUUUGGAGAAAAAUAAAAGUGAAAAGAGGUAGGAAUGUAAAAUACAAUCUUUUUGUAGCGAAAACGAUGACAACAAAUACUUAAGGUGAGACGGGCAUAAACUUCUUUUUUUUAAAACCAAUUUUGCUUUGUCUUUGACUUUGUUCAUUGUUAUUUUCAUUUGAUUUUCACUUUAUCAUUGCCAAGCGCCAAGAGCAUAAUAGCCUCAAAUUUGACUGUAGGUGCAUUGAUGCAGGUCUAUGCUAUUGGUUUCCCAGGCCUCUCUCUUAAUUUUUACAUUUUGUGUCAUUUUAUCUUAAAAUCCAACGGUUGCUGAAUUCUACUAUUGCCAAAAAGAUGGUAUACUCGUGUAGGAGUAUAGUGCCCAUGUAUUCCCUCGGGUAAAACCCAAUAUUAGAGUAAUUUUAGGACGUCAAAUUUUGGGGAUGUAUGAAGUCUAUAGACUAAUAAUCUCUGUACAUAAGAUUCUGAACCAAGCUCUCAAUGUACUAGAAAUAAAUAAUAUAUGAAUAUUAAAAAAUAAUUUUUGAAAGGAGAGAUAUAAGUAUCUAAGAACAUGAAAUUCAAUUUUUUUUUUCUUUGAAACUAAUCAUCAAGUGAUUCAGGCGGUCUCCAAAAUUUCAGACUGAUAAAAUACUUCCAAGUAGGUCGUUUGAAUGAGGGAGUAGAUGCACAAUACAUGCUCCCGUGGCAGCAUAUAUACAUGCUGUUCUACUAGUAGGGAGGUUUAUAAGUGUCUUAUUAUUGAAAAAUAGUUUGUUAGGACAGCAGCCCUAUCAAAAUAAGUAAAGUCCCACCUCAUAACUAUAAAAAAAUAUAAUUCAACUGUUGAAAAACCUUUAAAUUGGAACUUGAACAUCAUGAUUGUGCAAAAAAAUUAAAAUUUUAAAUUUUAAAAAAUAGUGUAUAGUGCAACAAUCAUUAGACCUUCAAUUUCACACUAAAAAUAAGUAUACACAGAUCCUCAAGAUUUGUGCCAAUUUUUAAGUUUCAAAUUUUAUUAUUGGUGUUGCAAAUUAAUUUUAAAGGCAUCAUGAAGAUUUUUUAUGCCAAAAGUGCUUUUUGGAUAAAGAUUUGAUAUGAGGCUUUGUUUUCUUUUCGUAAAGCCUAGGCCCUAUAAAAACUUCAUCCCUUAUUAUUUAAGGUUUCUUUGACUCAGAGAGAUAGAGAGAGCUAUAGAUAGAUAGAGAGAGGUGGGAGCUAAUAAAAUGAUUAAUGAAUUGAAUGUCCAUAAAAAUCGAGAGAUCUAUAAUAGCGAAAAUUACAAAUAACCCUCAAAAAUAGAUUUCUUAUGCAACUUAUCCCCAACCAAACUUUUUUUCUUACUUUUUACCCUAAAUUUAACUUUCCUAGCAAAUACCCCCAAGUCAUAAAAAAGGUAAAAUAAAGACCAAAAUGCCAUUUGAAAAACAUGUGGUCUAGCAUAAAAUGUGGGGGUCCGGCAUAAAAUAGGGGCGGUCCAACAUUUUGGGUAUACGGUCCAACACAAAAUGGGGGCAAUUUGGCACUUUGCUUUUAGAAAGCAUGUGGUCCGAUAUUUUGAGUGUGCGGUCCAGCAUAAAAUGGGGGCAAUUUGGCACUUUGCUUCUAGAAAACAUGCGGUCCGACGCCAAAUGGGGGCGGUCCGGUACUUUUGGCAUGCGGUUUGGCAUAAAAACGAGGGCGGUCCGGCACUUUGGGCUUCUGAAAAGCGUGCGGUCUGAUACAAAAUAGGGGCUAUCUGGCACAUUGGGCAUGCGGUCAAGCAUAAAAUGGGGGCGGUCCUGUAUUAUGGGCAUUUUCAUAAAAAAAAUAUAUAAUUUUUUUAUUUAGAGGUAUUUGUUAGAAAAGUUAAAUUUAUGGUAAAAAGUAAAAAAAUAAAUUUGUUUAGGGUUAAGCCGAAUGAGAAGCCUAUUCUUGGGGUUUUUAUAAUUUCCCUGAGAUGCCCAUGUUAGAGAGAGAGGUUGGUCCAAUCACAGUCAUGGAGGACUAACACUUUCAAGUCAUAAAUCUAUCACCAAGAGGGGCUUCAAGGUGCGGCAGCAUUGAAACUGCAGCCGCACAAGAACCUUACCAUUUAGAGUAGGGGUUACUUUCCAUGUUAGAUACAUUUUGAGUUGCUAAAUUGAAAAUUUUGAAUGGUUUUUUCCAAAUUGAGAUUCAUGGAGAGAGAAGGGAGCACCAACCAUCAAGAGGACGACAAUGCCUGUAGAAACACACCUCAAAAUGAGCCUCACAAGUAAAAACUUUACAACUAGGAACUCAAAAAGUUCUUACUAUAGAAAUAAUGUGCAUCUCAAAAAUUCAAUAAAAAAAAAUGCUCCAAACUUAAAAAACCAUCUAAUUAAUUAUCUAGACCUUGAUAUAUAUAUAUAUAUAUAGGAAAAGUCUUCCCAAUGUAUAUAGGCAAAAAUGAAUAAUGAUUUCACCUAUGAUCAUCACUGUCCAAAGUUCAUCGCAAGGUCAUAAUUGUCCGGUAGUGUUUCAAUUUUUAUUACACCCGAGAUUCAUUAAUACCCGAGAAAUUACAUGUAGAGAGUACAAUCAAGAGAAAGAUGUAACCACCAAGAAAAAAAAAAGAAUUUUAAGUCCUAAAAAUAGUGUAUCUUGUAACAAGUUAUAUAGACAGUCUAUUUUUAAGAUUUUCAAGUGUUAUAUAUCUACUUGAUCUGCUCUCUUUUUUUAAAAAAAAAUUCACAAUUAGGGUUUAAUACGUAUUUUCAAGCUAUCAUAAGGUUUUUGGCAUUGGAACUACAUCUUCCUACUAAAUUUAAGGUGUCUCACUUGUAGUAUAAAGUUGGCAUCUUAAACAAGUCUUACCCCUUUUUUUAAUACUAUUACAUUGCAUCAGCCAUAAAAGCUAAAAGAUUUCAAGUGCAUGUGGGAGCUAAUUAUGGGAUUGUAUACAGUGAGACUAUUUAUCGUUGGUACAAACAUGUUACAAUUACUUACAACCUUCCAAUGUGAAAUUAGAUAGUUUAGGUACAUCACAAAGUUCGAAAAAAAAAAAUUUGAACUUUGAGUUCUGUCCAUAGAAUAAAUGCAGCCACCCAACUUCACAUCCAAUAGUCAAGAUUAAUUGUGACCACCAUGUACUAAAGGUAAAUGGUCUCAUUAUAUACUUUUCCAAUUCGUACCUUCAAUUAGAGCCCAUAUUCUGGGUAUUUAUCCUCUAUAACAUAGAGAACAAUUUUUAAAAAAGUAAAAUAAUUCAAACGCACACUCUAUGAGCCAGAAAAAAUAGCAUCCCAAAGUUAAAUAUACGUCAUCCAAAUUUUGGACAGCAAGAUCGAAGCGUUAAGGAGUUCAAAAUCCAUUUUUUCCCUCCUAAGAACAGUCAUCUGAUCAUAUUUCAAUGGAUAUUAAACUUUCACAUCCAAAAGAUUUUUUCAAGUACAUUUUCUACCUGAGGGCAAAUGGACAGAUUGCUCCCAUGGGAACAUAGUAUGUCCACUCUAAAAGCCAAAAUUUUUUUGUCAAAAUGAGGAAACGACUUAACUUAUAAGGGAAAAUACUUUGCAAUAGAGCUUGUAAUAGACAAAAAAACUAUUUAGGAGGAGUGUCGGAGAUGUAGUUUAGAAUCAUUAGAUUAGUAUCUUCAAAAUAAGGUAUUGUAUAUAAUAAUACCGUUUACUUUAGCUACAAGGAGGUCAUAAUCACUCAUAGCUAUUGGAUGUGAAAUCCAACUUGAAAUGUAUCACAGCAUUCGAGAAGUUGUAUUUUGGAGUUUGUUUUUGGUCAAACAUGCAUCCCUUACCAACUUUCAAAUUUAAUGGCCAAUAGUUAUUGUGAUUUUUUUGUAUCAAAAGCAAAUGGUCUCAUAAUAUACAUUUCUUCAAAAUAAACACUUUUGGAUUUGAGCUACUUGAAUGCUUAUAACUAAUUAUCAAAAAAUUGAACUGCCUCUAUUUAAUUUUGGGAUUGGCUACAAAGAGAAAAAUUGGAAUACCUCUAUUUAAUUUUGGGAUUGUCUACAAGGAGAUCAUUUAUUUUUUUGUACAUGGAGGUCAAAAUCAUUUCUUCCCAUUAGAUAUCAAAUUAAUAGCUUGGGGCGAGUCACAAAGUCCAAUAACUUUUUUUCUUUUGAAACUUUGUGUCUAUUCAAUUACACUCUUACAACUACCCAUUUGGAAAUUUAACAGAUAUGAAUGAUUGUAACCUCUAUAUACAAAAGAUAAAUAGAACUUUUGUAGACAAUCCCUUUAAGGGAUUUUGAAGUGCUAUUUUUUUUUUAGGAACAUAUAGAGUGUGUAUGGAUUUUCUUUUCUUUUCCCUAUAUAUUUAUUUGAUAUUGGUCUCUAAAUUGAGGAGGUGACAUACCAAAGAAUUGGGUCUUGAAAUAGUCCUAAAGACGGCUUUAUCUAAUUGAACUAACAAACUAUAUACCCCCUAGGGAUAAUAUUUGGCUUAACAAUAACUUUGAAACAUUAUUUGGAUAUUUUAUAUUUACUUAACCUACUCAACAUUCAUCCAGAGCAUUAUUACCCUUUGCAAUAAAAAAAAAACUUUUCGACCAAAGGUAUUUUUUUUCUCAAGCAGGAUAAAAUAGAUAUUUUAUAAAACACUAUAUUCUAUUAAUUAUUUAGAAAGCAAUUAAAACUCCAUAUGAAUGAUCUGGUAAGGCGUGUGAAUGAUGUGAAAUCGAAUGUAGGUGAUGUUGUUCCCAACUAUAGAUUAUGAAUACUUUUUUUUCUACCAAUAAUUUCUACCUUACCAUGAUUAAUUACCUAAAAUAUGCCUAAACAAAAAAGUUAUUAUAUUAUAUAGUAGAAGUUUUUAAGUAUCCAAAAGUACAUUAAAAAAAUACUGAAGAAGUAGCCUAACAACACCCCUACUUUCUUGCAUCUUACAUGGGUAAAUGGUUAGGCAUUCAUAUCUCCAUGAUGGACGGAGAUUAACCAUAGCAAACUAUAGCUCGAAAGCAACAAGCAAUGGUACAAGCAACGGAACAACUGUAUGAGUAAUAUUCUAUUUUUGGGUAAAUAAAGAUGAACUAUGCUUCCUAAUGAGAAGCAUUCUAUAUUUCCUAAUGAGAAGGAUUCACUUAGGGGUGUUCAUACGAUCCGACCUGACCCGACCCGACCCAUUUGCACCCCUGUAUUCACCUAAAGAUAAUCAAUCUCCAGCAUUUGUCGUCGGGAAUGGACAUGGAUGCCCAAGUGGUGUACCAUAUAAUUGUAAAACUUUUAAGGCCUUUCUUCACAAAAAGGAAAGAGAAAACUAUGGAAUGGGAAAUUCGUAAUCCAUAAAAUAAAAGUAAUGUACAUACCGAGAAAAUGUUCACGUGCCCGGGAUCGGCCAAGUGCGCGGCUAAGUUGUCCAGUGGCCCUGCACCAGUGUAUACAGCUUGAAACCAGAAGCCAAGGAAAGCAAGCAUGGCAAGUCUACCAUUCUUAAUCUCCUUAGUCCUCAACACCAUCACAGGUUCAGGUGAUCCCCUACCCCACAUCCAAGGGUCGAACCACAAGCCGCCAGGGUACCCCACGUCGGGCUUAGGAUUCUUCUUAGUUGGGUAUUUUGGCUCAAUGUCUACACACCCGGGCUUAAUAAAGUCAGCCCACCUCCGCCCCUCGACCCAACCCAUUAGGAUCAUUUGUACCACGAACAGGGUCGUGGUGUCUGCAAAGUAUUCACGUUCUCCCGCUGUGUACCAUGAGUAGUCAUCAAUGAAGCCCAGUUUUUCCAGACACUCAGGUAUCAGGAUCCCGGCUGCACCUAGCAUCGCCCACCGUGCGUGCAUCAGUUCUGCCUGAGCAAACCACCGAAGCGACUCCGGGUCCGAUCCUGAAAUUCAUAUGGUGAGGCAUGACAUGAUUACUAGUCAGGUAGAUGAGGAACGGUGGAUACCAUACAUGGUGGUUAGGGAUUAUCCUGUAUGCAACUAUGCAAUGUGAACUUCCUGAAGUAGGCCAAUAAUUUACAUAAAAAAUAAUUUACAUAAAAAAUUUACUUACUCUUCCCUCAAAAAACUUUUUUAGGAUUAGAUGUGUUUGACAUUAGAAUGUGUUUGUCAUUAGAAUGCAAAUUAUCAAUAGAGAAAUUGUUUUGCAUGGGCAUCAUAUCAAAAUCUAGUGGCUACUAAUUUUAUUUUUAUUUUUAGAGUUUGGAUAGAAAAUUUUAAUUUUAUUUAUGAGGGAUACUUAUUAAAAAUAGGAUGUUUUGGUUAAUUUGAUUAAAUCCAUUUUUAUUAGAGGUUUUUUUUAAAAAAAUAAUAAGGUCCAAUUUCUUUAAAAAAGUUAAACCGUAUUUUUUGUAGGUUUGUGUUUUUUUGGUAGGUGUGUAUUUUUACAUUGUAACAUAAGAGAAUGGGUUGUUUCAUAGGAAUAGAUUGGAUUGUUUCAUAGGAAUAGAUUAGGUUGUUAAAAAGGACGGAGUUAUCUUUUAUUUUAGGAAAUCGUUUUUUUGUUAUAGAAAAUAUUUUGUAAGAUUUUAAGAAAAUCUAUUUUUAGUUAGGAAAGAAUAGGGCUAUUUAUCUUUAAAAAUUAACCUUCAGAAGGCGUUGGUUUUAGAAUUAUCUAUAGGUGGUAUCAUAGUCGAUUUUUGUGGAUCCUGAUGUUUGUCCCUUUGUUUCAUGGCUAGUGGACAAGGUUUAUGGGUGACAUCGGGACUCAACCCAUCUAGCGAAAAUGAAACCUCAGAGCUCUCUUUGAGAUAGAUAUCAAAGGUUUGAGAAGGCAAAUAGAAGAGCAUGAAGCCUUUG